rnacentral:rRNA from 1 species
GACGAACGCUGGCGGCGUGCUUAACACAUGCAAGUCGAACGGUGAGGAGGAGCUUGCUCCUCCGAUCAGUGGCGAACGGGUGAGUAACACGUGAGUAACCUGCCCCAGACCCUGGGAUAACAGUUGGAAACAGCUGCUAAUACCGGAUACGAGACGGAGAGGCAUCUCUACCGUCUGGAAAGAUUUAUCGGUCUGGGAUGGACUCGCGGCCUAUCAGCUUGUUGGUGAGGUAAAGGCUCACCAAGGCGACGACGGGUAGCCGGCCUGAGAGGGCGACCGGCCACACUGGGACUGAGACACGGCCCAGACUCCUACGGGAGGCAGCAGUGGGGAAUAUUGCACAAUGGGCGAAAGCCUGAUGCAGCGACGCCGCGUGAGGGAUGACGGCCUC